rnacentral:lncRNA from 1 species
UGUCCAGAAUGCAGACCAAAGCAUGGACGUUGGUAUAUUGACCUGGUAGUUGGAUGCCAGGACGUACUUUCCAACCAGGACAGAGAGCCUUCCACGGAGUCAUUCUCCAAUUUUGAUCUAGGUCACUACGACGUGGUUUGGUAAUUGACUGGUUGAUGCAUCCUCGUGUCGAGAAUUGAUCCGUAUCGUGGAUGCAAUUCUGCGCUAGGCUCCGAGCAUAAAUAAGAUCUGCCAUUACUACAACGAAAUUGGAGGCACA